CAGGCCUGCCUCGGUCCGGGGACGGAAUUUGCCGACGUACCCGGAACUGUUUCCAAGGUUUCCUCAGGUUCGGGUGGUGGCGCGGCCGCGGGUCCUGGGAGCCAAGGCAACCAAGAUCUUCCCCGGCUCGCGAGAGCGCCCCCUUCUCCCACGGCUUCGGGGAACCAGUGGCAGCGAUGGCUCCGGUGUCUGGCUCCCGCAGCCCAGAGUGGGAGGCCUCAGGUUCCGGGGGGAAGCGUCGCAGUUCGUCGAAGAGCCCUAAGCCUUGCAGCAAAUCCUCUCGCUCCCCGCGGGGCCGCCGCUCUCGCUCGCACUCUUGCUCUCGGUCCGGGGACCGGAAUGGCCUUAGCCAUCAGUCGAGUGGCCCCAGCCAAGGCUCCAGAAACCAGUCCUACAGAUCCCGUUCUCGGUCACGCUCUCGAGAGCGGCCCUCGGCUCCGCGGGGCGCCCCUUUCGCUUCUGCCUCGUCCGCCUAUUAUGGCGGCUACUCACGCCCCUACGGCAGUGACAAGCCAUGGCCUAGCCUCCUGGACAAGGAGAGGGAGGAGAGCCUGCGGCAGAAGAGAUUAAGUGAGAGAGAGAGGAUUGGAGAACUUGGAGCUCCUGAAGUAUGGGGACUUUCUCCAAAGAAUCCAGAACCAGACUCUGAUGAACAUACACCAGUAGAGGAUGAAGAGCCAAAGAAAAGCACCACUUCAGCUUCUACUUCAGAAGAAGAGAAGAAGAGGAAGAAGAAGUCUGGUCAUUCAAAAGAAAGAUCCAAGAAAAGGAGAAAGAAAAAAUCAUCUAAAAGAAAACACAAAAAGUAUUCUGACGAUAGUGACAGUGACUCUGAUUCUGAUACAGACUCCAGUGAUGAAGAUACAAAAAGGAGAGCAAAGAAAUCCAAGAAAAAAGAAAAGAAGAAGAAACGCAGAUCGAAGAAAUAUAAGAAAAAGAAGUCUAAGAAGAGCAGAAAAGAUUCCAGCGAUUCAAGUUCUAAAGAGUCCCAGGAAGAGUUGCUGGAGAAUCCCUGGAAGGAUCGAUCAAAGCCUGAAGAACCCUCUGAUUUGAUUGGCCCAGAGGCUCCCAAAACACUUGCCUCUCAAGAUGAUAAACCUUUGAACUAUGGCCAUGCUCUGUUACCUGGUGAAGGUGCAGCUAUGGCUGAAUAUGUAAAAGCUGGAAAACGUAUCCCACGAAGAGGUGAAAUUGGCCUGACAAGUGAAGAAAUUGCAUCAUUUGAAUGCUCGGGUUAUGUAAUGAGUGGUAGCAGGCAUCGCCGGAUGGAGGCUGUGCGACUGCGAAAAGAGAACCAGAUCUAUAGUGCUGAUGAGAAGAGAGCCCUUGCAUCCUUUAACCAAGAAGAGAGACGGAAGAGAGAAAACAAGAUUCUGGCCAGUUUUCGAGAGAUGGUAUACAGAAAAACUAAAGGGAAAGAGGACAAGAAAAAGUGUCUAUCUCGUUGUGCUACUCUACCAUGGAUGGCUUAGCCAAUUGCAUAUUAUUGGACAUUCAACGUCAACAGCCACUGGAAGCAUAUGCACAAAACUCUUAUCAAUGGAUGAAAUGCUGAGCUCACUGCCUGGAAGACACACAGACCUAGGACCCACACACAGACUGUGCUGCUGAGAUGGUGUAGUGAG